UACGUAGGGUGCAAGCGUUAAUCGGAAUUACUGGGCGUAAAGCGUGCGCAGGCGGUUUUGUAAGUCUGUCGUGAAAGCCCCGGGCUCAACCUGGGAACUGCAUUCAAAACUGACAAGCUAGAGUAUGGUAGAGGGUGGUGGAAUUUCCUGUGUAGCGGUGAAAUGCGUAGAGAUCGGGAGGAAUACCAGUGGCGAAGGCGGCCUUCUGGACUGACACUGACGCUGAGGCGCGAAAGCCAGGGGAGCAAACGGG
rnacentral:rRNA from 1 species